rnacentral:rRNA from 1 species
CAAGCGUUGUCCGGAAUUAUUGGGCGUAAAGAGCUCGUAGGCGGAUCGUCGCGUCGACCGUGAAAACCCGCGGCUUAACUGCGGGCUUGCGGUUGAUACGGGCGGGCUAGAGUUCGGUAGGGGAGACUGGAAUUCCUGGUGUAGCGGUGAAAUGCGCAGAUAUCAGGAGGAACACCGGUGGCGAAGGCGGGUCUCUGGGCCGAUACUGACGCUGAGGAGCGAAAGCGUGGGGAGCGAACAGG